CAAGGAGAGACAUAGACGGGGAGAGACCAACACACGGAGAGACACACACACAGAGAGUGAGAGAGAAAACGAAUAUCACUUUGGAGCCAUCCGAGGCCGAUGCACAAAAUCUGGAUGAACAUGUAAAUUUGGCCACAUUCCAGUCCAUCUUCACCUGAACACAUCAGACUCAUCCAGGGACAAGACAAAAAUAUGGAUGACCAGCGAUGGCCCAGGAUGCAGUGGAUGACCUUGGUGUUUUUGAUGUCUGACCAAGCUCUAAGUGCUCCAAAGCACUGCUUUAGCUAUUUUUCAUGGCCUCUGGAACAAACUAUUUUCAUCUCUCUGUUGCACUGGGAAAGUCCUCUUUAACUCAUUGAUGGGUUUGUAGCUCACUCAUUACUCUCCACUUAGUUUAGCCUUUCUGCUGAAAUAGUUUACUGGGGUAGGUUCACUGCCAGGUGGACACCAAAGGUAGAUGAAUAGCCCAAAGGGACCUAAGAAAUGAUGAUGUUCAGGCAUGAGUUAGGUGCCAU